UAUGGCCAUACCACAUUGAAACACUGAUUCUCGUUUGUUCACUGAAGUUAAGCAAUAUUGUACUUAGUGGGUGACCACUUGGGAAACCAGGUGUUGUAAG